rnacentral:rRNA from 1 species
GAUGAACGCUGGCGGCGUGCUUAACACAUGCAAGUCGAACGGGAAUUAUUUUAUUGAAACUUCGGUCGAUUUAAUUUAAUUCUAGUGGCGGACGGGUGAGUAACGCGUGGGUAACCUGCCUUAUACAGGGGGAUAACAGUAAGAAAUGGCUGCUAAUACCGCAUAAGCGCACAGAGCUGCAUGGCUCAGUGUGAAAAACUCCGGUGGUAUAAGAUGGACCCGCGUUGGAUUAGCUGGUUGGCAGGGUAACGGCCUACCAAGGCGACGAUCCAUAGCCGGCCGGAGAGGGUGAACGGCCACAUUGGGACUGAGACACGGCCCAGACUCCUACGGGAGGCAGCAGUGGGGAAUAUUGCACAAGGGGGGAAACCCUGAUGCAGCGACGCCGCGUGAAGGAAGAAGUAUCUCGGUAUGUAAACUUCUAUCAGCAGGGAAGAGAGUGACGGUACCUGACUAAGAAGCCCCGGCUAACUACGUG